AACGAACGCUGGCGGCAUGCCUAACACAUGCAAGUCGAACGAGAUCUUCGGGUCUAGUGGCGCACGGGUGCGUAACGCGUGGGAAUCUGCCCUUUGGUUCGGAAUAACAGUUGGAAACGACUGCUAAUACCGGAUGGUGACGAAAGUCCAAAGAUUUACGCCAGAGGAUGAGCCCGCGUAGGAUUAGCUAGUUGGUGUGGUAAAGGCGCACCAAGGCGACGAUCCUUAGCUGGUCUGAGAGGAUGAUCAGCCACACUGGGACUGAGACACGGCCCAGACUCCUACGGGAGGCAGCAGUGGGGAAUAUUGGACAAUGGGCGAAAGCCUGAUCCAGCAAUGCCGCGUGAGUGAUGAAGGCCUUAGGGUUGUAAAGCUCUUUUACCCGGGAUGAUAAUGACAGUACCGGGAGAAUAAGCUCCGGCUAACUCCGUGCCAGCCGCCGCGGUAA
rnacentral:rRNA from 1 species